UGAGAGUCAGCCGUGAGGAUUUGCGCAGUCCUGCUCGGUAUUUUUGGAGACAGCUGCUUUCUCUUACCAGGGUCAAGGGGCUCUCCCGAUCUGCUUGGAAGGAGGCAAGGAGAUUCAGAGCCAACUACAUCAACUGCACAGACAACUGGGAUCCCACCAUCUGAGUCAUUCCCUCUCAGGUGCUGUCUAUAACAAAGGGCACACGCCAAAGCCACCAGUACCGGGAGCAGAAAUCCAGAAAAUAAUAGGAACAGUGAGAACAGUAUUUCCAGACCAGACUACCUCUGAAAUUAGAGUCUACAUUAGACAGAAAUUCCAGAAUGCAUGCAAGCAACAAUGAGGAAAGGGCAGUGAUGCUGCUGGAAGUCUGUGCAGUGAAUAAGUGUUAAAUUAUGACAAA